rnacentral:rRNA from 1 species
UAGCGAAGGGGAGCUAGCGUUGUUCGGAAUACUGGGCGUAAAGCGUGCGCAGGCGGCGCGUUAAGACAGGUGUGAAAGCCCCGAGCUUAACUUGGGAAUUGCGCUUGUGACUGGCGUGCUGGAGUGUGGCAGAGGGAGGUGGAAUUCCACGUGUAGCAGUGAAAUGCGUAGAGAUGUGGAGGAACACCGAUGGCGAAGGCAGCCUCCUGGGCCAGCACUGACGCUCGAUGCACGAAAGCGUGGGGAGCAAACAGG